UGACUGAUAGGAUAAUAGCGCACGCUCAGAUGCGGAGAGUCACUAGAGAGUUUACUGCGUGAUCGGUACUGCAUCUAUUUGUUUAUUUUUCUAAUGGUGGCACAAAUGAAAUUCCUGUUUAUUGUGCUGUCGACAUUUGUACUUCACCGUGGUGUGUUUGGCGUUGAAGAAACUAGAGUACCAGUGAUGGAGGGAGAUUGCGUCACGCUACACACUGGUGUUAAAACGCACCGACAAGUCAGACUGAGAUGGUAUUAUAAUGACAUUCGGCUCGGUCAAGUCAAUGGAGAUGUAAGUAAGACCUGUACAGAUGUUCAUUGUAAGAGGAGAUUCAGAGGCAGACUGGAGCUGGACGAUCGGACUGGAUCUCUGACCAUCACGAGAAUAAUGACCGCAGACGAUGGAGUUUAUAAACUGAAAGUUUUAGGCAGCCACAGCAGUGAAACGAUCUUCAAUGUUACUGUUAACGACCAAAAGAAGCCAGAGUCAGUGAAGGAGAGCGAAUCAGUCACUUUUUACACUGGUGUUGCAAAUCCAGAUGCUUUGAUGACAUGGUGUUUCAAUGAUAUUUGCAUCGCUGAAAUAAAUGGACAUGCUGAUAAGACCUGUACGGAUGUUCAGUGUAAAGAUGGCGACGAGAGAUUCAGAGGCAGACUGAAGCUGGAUCAUCAGACUGGAUCUCUGAGCAUCACGGACACCAGAACCACAGACUCUGGAGUUUAUACACUACAGAUCAGCAGCAGAAGCAGUAUUAUUAGGAACUUCAGCAUUGCUGUCCUUUUUUUGACGUUAACACUGUUUAAAAUCAGUGGAGUUUGCGACGAUGCUUCACAGAAGAGAGCACUUUCUAAGUAGACAAGUUUGGAAAGCUCAUGAUCAGUGGAUGCAAGAUGCAGUUACAGUGAAGAACUCUAUUAUUAAUUACACUCUAUUAGACAUGCUGUAGAAUUAUGUUUGUUAUUAAUCGAACUGAUCACUGCCUCCUUCUGUUUAUUGCAAAUUCACAUGCAGACACUCGAACACCGGAUCUAAUUGUGCAUAAUAUAAAUCCAGCAUUCGUUGGAGGAUUCCUGCUGGCGCUGGCUCUGGCUCUGGCUCUGCCUAUGGCUGUUAUAUGCUGUUAUGUUUGUUUCUGUGACUACAAACCAGCAAAGCCUCAAAAGAUUAGUUCCGCUGUCAGUGGAGAAAAAAGCUAUUUAGAGGAUAUAAGCAAGAUUUCAAUGUGAGGUUUACGGUAUGAAAUACAGCAUAUAUUUCAAGAUAUGUUCGAUAUCAUCUCAAAUGCUCACGCUGCUCUGUAGCUGUAGUUCUUUUAUGAAUGUAUAAUAUUGAAGAAAUCUAAUGUUAAGAAACAGAAUCACCAAAGAAUAAAAUAAAAAAUAGUCACUACUACAGUGAUCAGUGUUUACUUUAGUUGGUCUCUUGAAUAUGUAGUAUUACAUACUUUGGUUUGGUUGCUAUGAUUGAGUUAUAACAACCAGACGAACAAAGACCAAAAGUUAACAUGUAGUGACCUGAAGAAACUAGUUAGGAUUUGUUGGUCGGUUAUGUCAACACUGUGAGCAACAUGAGAUUUGGCAUCCAAAAAAUAAUCAGAAAAAUGCAUUUACAAAACGUAUUGGUAAAAUUGAAAAACGUAGGCACACCAAGAAUCUCUGUGAGAACGGUGACCAUCAAGAAAAGCACGUUGGAGGCAAAACUCAUGACGGUGAAUGAGAGACAAGGAAGAAGAAAAAAUAUAUAUUCAACAACUUCGAUAGUGUUGCUGUCUUAUGUUAUGCAUGACAUAUUUACAAAAUAAAAAAUGUAAUUUUUUAUGUAAUUUUAAA